AAUCAACGCUGGCGGCGUGCCUCAGACAUGCAAGUCGAACGCGAAAGGCCCCUUCGGGGGCCGAGUAGAGUGGCGCACGGGUGAGUAACACGUGGGUAAUUUACCUCUGGGUGGGGAAUAGCGGCUGGAAACGGCCAUUAAUACCGCAUAAUGCAGCGGCUCGACAUCGAGACAGUUGUUAAAGCGGGGGCUUCGUAAGAACCUCGCGCCUGGAGAAAAGCCCACGGCGGAUUAGCAGUUGGUAGGGUAAUGGCCUACCAAGGCGACGAUCCGUAACCGGCCUGAGAGGGCGGGUCGGUCACACUGACACUGAAUAACGGGUCAGACUCCUACGGGAGGCAGCAGUCGGGAAUUUUGGGCAAUGGGCGCAAGCCUGACCCAGCAACGCCGCGUGAAGGAUGAAAUCCCUCGGGAUGUAAACUUCGCAAGAACAGGGAGAAUAAGUAGAAGACAAUACCUUCUAUGAUGACGGUACUGUUUGUAAG
rnacentral:rRNA from 1 species